UCCCUGUAAACCUGCCCCAACAUAUAAUAGCCAACAGGGGUCGUGUUCCAUGGGGCAGGCUCUCCACAGCGGCCUAACAUUGUCUCCAGCCUGAGGGAGUUUGAGGUCCGUGCAGAGUUCUGCUGUGGCUGCAGUGGGUCCAGCCUGCUCAGAAAUGUGCUACAGCCUAAUGGUGUUUGAAAGAGUGCAGUGGAGUAUCCUGCACGAACACCUCCAGAAGCACCUCAGCGACGACCAAGAAGUGCAGCUGAUGGGUGGCAGAAGUCAGGAGUCUGUGCAGAAGGGGAGGAGUGAGUCGCUCAGUGUGCCUCUAAAGAAACUAGACAAGAGUGAACCAGAGAGUGAAGAGUAUUGUGAUGGAGUGAGAGAGCUGAGAGAGGCUGCUAUGAAGCUUUUGGGAUUCUUAGGAAAGUGAAGAAAAAAAUAAGCUGCCUUCAGAAAUGUAUUAGAAAAGUAAAGAAGAAUAUGAGAUGCCUGUAGAAAUGUAAUAUUACAAAAGAGGAAACAGGGAGCUAAAUGAGGCUGUGUUGAAGCUCCAGGAAGUCUUAGGAAAGUAAAGAAGGAGUAUAAGAUGCCCUCAAAAAUGUCCCUUUACAAAUAUUAGAAAAAAGUGAGCCAGAGAGUAAAUGUUCUUGCAAUGGAGUGAGGGAGCUAAAAGAGGCUGUUUUGAUGCUCUGGAAAAGUCUUAGGAAAGUAAAGAAGGAGUAUAAGAUGCCCUCAGAAAUGUCCCUUUACAAAUAUUAGAAAAGAGUGAACCAGAGAGUGAAUGUUCUUGUGAUGGAGUGAGGGAGCUAAAAGAGGCUGUUUUGAUGCUCUGGAAAAGUCUUAGGAAAGUAAAGAAGGAGUAUAAGAUGCCCUCAGAAAUGUCCCUUUACAAAUAUUAGAAAAGAGUGAGCCAGAGAGUGAAUAUUCUUGCAAUGGAAUAUUGAGGGAGCUAAAGGAGGCUGUUUUGAUGCUCUGGAAAAGUCUUAGGAAAGUAAAGAAAAUAUAAGAACUUGUUGAUAGCACAGAAGUCAUCACAGUUUUAUAUCUUUUAAGAAAUGUUAUUGUUAAGUUUAAGUAAUUUUUUGUGGGAAUAUGAUGUGACAAUGAAAUAAAACAACAAAUACCGAGGAAAAA